rnacentral:rRNA from 1 species
GACGAACGCUGGCGGCGUGCCUAAUACAUGCAAGUAGAACGCUGAAGAGAGGAGCUUGCUCUUCUUGGAUGAGUUGCGAACGGGUGAGUAACGCGUAGGUAACCUGCCUUGUAGCGGGGGAUAACUAUUGGAAACGAUAGCUAAUACCGCAUAACAAUGGAUGACACAUGUCAUUUAUUUGAAAGGGGCAAUUGCUCCACUACAAGAUGGACCUGCGUUGUAUUAGCUAGUAGGUGAGGUAACGGCUCACCUAGGCGACGAUACAUAGCCGACCUGAGAGGGGGAUGGGCAAAACGGGGAAUGGGACACGGCCCAAACUCCUAGGGGAGGCAGCAGUAGGGAAUCUUCGGAAAUGGGGGCAACCCUGACCGAGAAACGCCGCGGGAGUGAAAAGGGUUUUGGGAUCGAAAAGCUCUGUUGAAAGUCAAGAAGGGGUGGGAGAGGGGAAAGUUCACACUGUGACGGUAGUGUCCCAAAAAGGGACGGCUAACUACGU